AGAAAGAAAACAGAGGCUUAAUGAGGCAAAGGCAACAUGUCCAAGACCACACAGCUGACUGCUUCAAUAAAUAUCCUUGAACAUACAUCACGUCAUGUGUGUGAGAGAAAGAGGGAGACAGAGAGGCAGAGAGAUACAGAAGGAGAGAAUGAGAGAGAGAAGACGUGAAGAUGCAGAGUCAAGGGCACGAGCGUUUUGAGAUGUGGAGAAUAUUUGCCCCCUUCUUUAAAUGUGCGCUGGCUGCUCAUGUGCUGACUAGGUGGGGCUGGCCUGUGGACUCCCUGACUGAUGGGAGGAAACUGUCAGAGAUACCAAGAUAUACGCUGUUUGUCUCAGUUCUUGCGACAACACGGUGAGGCAUGGAGCAUUCUAGGUUCUGGGGAAACAAAAGUAAUUCCCACUGUCUCCACAAGCCCGCCCUUCCGUCGGAAC